rnacentral:rRNA from 1 species
UCGCCUACGGGGCGCAGCAGUGGGGAAUUUUGGACAAUGGGCGCAAGCCUGAUCCAGCUAUUCCGCGUGUGGGAUGAAGGCCCUCGGGUUGUAAACCACUUUUGUAGAGAACGAAAAGACACCUUCGAAUAAAGGGUGUUGCUGACGGUACUCUAAGAAUAAGCACCGGCUAACUACGUGCCAGCAGCCGCGGUGAUACGUAGGGUGCGAGCGUUAAUCGGAAUUACUGGGCGUAAAGGGUGCGCAGGCGGUUGGGUAAGGAAGAUGGGGAAAUCCCGGGGUUAAAUCGGGAAUGG